rnacentral:lncRNA from 1 species
CUCAACUCGGGGCAGCAGCAGGAGCUCUGACUGCCCUUGGGUCCUGUCCCCAUGCAGCAGCGGCAGCAGCUCUUCACUGCCCAUGGGUCCUGUCCCCAUGCUAUUCCAUACUAUUCUCUAAAUAAAAAAGCACUACUGCCAGUCCUUGAGAGUCCAAGAAAUCUUUCUUUCGACUCUUCGGCUCGCCAUCCCCGCAUCAUGACCACCAGCCCCUUUACAAGUCUGAUCAUUCUCCUCUGAACACACUCCAGGAUGUGGAUAUUCCUCGUAAACUGCAAUAACCAGAAUUGAACUCAGCACUCCAUGUGAGAUCUAUCAGGAAGGACAAACCUGUCCUGAGAUGGCCUUAGCUGCAGAGAGAUGCCUUGCUCAAAAGCGUGACCUACCUGGGGUACUCACAUCCAUUGACUGAUCACGGCGGGGCGAUAAAGACCUGACAUUUUUGGCUCACUAGGGGGCAACUCCAGUGGGCCAUAUUGGCUCUGGAGCUCCCUGUGAGUUGCGCUGAGGCCUUCAGACCUGCAUCACAGCUCAACUUAUCCCUCUGUUCAAUUGCUUCCUCCUCCUUGCUUCCACAGGUGUUGAUACCUAAUAAAUAUACUGCAUGUCA